rnacentral:rRNA from 1 species
CUGGCUCAGGACGAACGCUGGCGGCGUGCUUAACACAUGCAAGUCGAGCGGUAAGGCCCCUUCGGGGGUACACGAGCGGCGAACGGGUGAGUAACACGUGGGUGACCUGCCCUUAGCUCUGGGAUAAGCCUGGGAAACUGGGUCUAAUACCGGAUAUGACUCCACGACGCAUGUUGUGGGGUGGAAAGCCUUGUGCGGCUAGGGAUGGGCCCGCGGCCUAUCAGCUUGUUGGUGGGGUGAUGGCCUACCAAGGCGACGACGGGUAGCCGGCCUGAGAGGGCGACCGGCCACACUGGGACUGAGACACGGCCCAGACUCCUACGGGAGGCAGCAGUGGGGAAUCUUGCGCAAUGGGCGAAAGCCUGACGCAGCGACGCCGCGUGAGGGAUGACGGCCUUCGGGUUGUAAACCUCCUUCAGCUCCGACGAAGCGAGAGUGACGGUAGGAGCAGAAGAAGCACCGGCCAACUACGUGCCAGCAGCCGCGGUAAUACGUAGGGUGCAAGCGUUGUCCGGAAUUAUUGGGCGUAAAGAGCUCGUAGGCGGUCUGUCACGUCGGCUGUGAAAACUCGGGGCUCAACUCCGAGCUUGCAGUCGAUACGGGCAGGCUAGAGUUCGGCAGGGGAGACUGGAAUUCCUGGUGUAGCGGUGAAAUGCGCAGAUAUCAGGAGGAACACCGGUGGCGAA